UUCGAUAAACCACCGAAAAACAUAAAAUAAAUGUAUAAUUAUUAAACAAAUAAUUAUAUCAUAACCAAAAGCAUGAAGCACAAGACAUAUGAUUAUUAAUUAAGUAAUAAUACAUAACUAAGCAUGGGAAGAGUAUAUGAAGCAAAUUACUUCAAUUUACACAACAUUAUAAAAUACAUGUUACCCUCCGAUAUAAAAUAUAAUAUACAUGUGAUGAUCAAUACAAAGUAUCGUCUAACUCACAGAGAAAGAGCAGCACAAAACUUACAGGUAAGGUAAAUUAAGGGAGGGUAGGGAGGGUAAUUUUUUACUAUCAAAUUCCAUGCGGAGCGCUAGCGCGUAAACAUAAGCUGGGCUGAAAGGUCAGAAAACUCUAGACCCCUAGAAAGUCACGUGACGGCCAGGAAGGCGCUGCAGAGGGGCACCGCUGUUCGAUUGUCUGAACGAAAUUAAGGAAUUUAAUUCUAUUUAAACAAACAAACAACGACAAAGUGAAGGGGGUGCUGAGAGCUUUAUUAUUACCUAAAACUAACUACAGCUCUAACUAAUAUGCGCAGCGCGCCAAAUACAUAUAUGUGAAUUCAUUAACAAUAAUGCGCAAACAGAUGUAUAAUUAUUAAACAAAUAAUUAUAUCAUAACCAAAAGCAUGAAGCACAAGACAUAUGAUCAUUAAUUAAGUAAUAAUACAUAACUAAGCAUGGGAAGAGUAUAUGAAGCAAAUGGGGAUAAUAAGCCAGCUACUCGCUAGGUGGCGCUAGUAAAAUAAGGGGUAAACAAUGCUGACCCAGAUUCUUAUCUCACUACACUUUGCAAUGGAUUCUGAGAAGAAAUCAAAAUAUUUUGGAUGGAAAGUUAUACAAUUACAGAGAAAAUUAAUAAAAAGAGGGGCAUCAAUCAAAGGCAGAAAGGAAGAUUUGUUAACAAGACUUUAAGCAUAUGACAGAAAUCAAGACUUCAGGGAUGAACAUAUAUUCUCCUACCAGAACCUCUGGAUUCCGACUGGUCCACUGAAGGGUUUCAUCAACUGCAAGCAGACCAUAGGAUCCACUUCCCUAAAUUGGGAAGCAAUAUGAAAAAAAAAAAAACAGCAGUUAAGAAAUUUGAAAAGCAAACGGGAUAUAGUGUCAACAACUGUAGUUUAUUCAUAUGUAGAGAAAGACCAUAUCUGGCUGCAACACCCGACGGAGUCAUCAAUGAACAAACAAUAGUUGAGGUUAAAUGUCCAUAUGCUGGGAAAGAAGAAAUGAUCGAACCUGGGAAAUUGUUUCCAUACUUGGAGUAUACGGACGGAGAAAUUGAGCUAAAGAAAACUUCAAACUACUAUUAUCAGAUACUGGGACAGAUGUAUAUAAGUAAAAGACAAUAUUGCUUUUUCAUUAUGUAAAUAUUCAAGGAUAUUUUUGUACAAAAAAUUGAACUAGAUCAUGAGUACUGUAACACAAAGCUAGAACUGUUCUACAAAAAGUAUCUGCGGAAAUAAAUAGCUGAUCAUCUGUGAAAUAACAUUGAUGAUGAUAUAUGUAGACAUUUGCAGUACAAUAUGAUGUUCAUUCUAUGAUAAAUAAUUGUAUGUAGUUGAAAUAAAUAUAUAACAGCCCAGCA
rnacentral:lncRNA from 1 species